ensembl:lncRNA
GCUAAAGCAACUGCCCAUGGCUCCUGUGCGCUGCCGAGGCGGGGAGGGCGAGGGGGUGAAUCCUUUCCCUCUCCUUACAUGGACAUGUGGAUCACCCUUGCCUCUCAUGUCCUCCGUAGCUCUGCCCUCCAAAGAAAGCCCUCUAAACUUGCGGAGAUCACUGCCAAGGCCUAAAAAGCUGAGGACAAGAGCCUGGGUGUCUGAAGUCACCUGUUUGCCCUUCAUCUCUGGGGCCCUAACUGAGACCUCAGCUUACACUUUGCUUCUGACAGCUCUGGGUAUACCAGCUGACUCACUCUUUUAACAACUAAUGAGACCAGUGGUUCUGCACAGCCUUCUUUGGUGACUUAGAUGCAUCCCUAUCCCAGGAGAUAAUGUGGCAUUUCUGUCUCUGGCACUGCCGUCUGUUAGGAAGACUGGGCAGAUAAAAGAUCCUCAUUAUCCAGAAAGAACUGGGACCUGGAAAGCCCUUUUAGAACUAACCCACUGUAGACAGAGACCAGAGUUUCACAUAGGAAAUAGUGAAAAAGGCUUGAUUGGAACAAGUAUCUAUAAGUAGAGUGUAUUUGCAACUAUGAGCUAAUUCUUUGAGUAUUUUAUAUAUAUAUUUCCAUGCUAAACUUAUGUGAUUGUACACAGGACAUGGUUUCAUGUUUGAUUCCCAUAGCACAGUCAGCCACAAGGGAGGCUUUUAGUCAAGGCUGUCUCCAGUUUUCCAGAGAGCUUCCCUUCAGCCCUUUGAUAGUCAAACCACCCGCCAUGCAGCUCUUCUCACCUGUUCCUGGACCUCGUUCUGAGUCCUCACUGGCCAGGGGCUGCACCCAUUGAUGCAGCAGCUGAGGCCCAGCGAGAUGAAGAGCCCUAUCCAAGGUCGCUCAGCUAACCUGCAGCAGAAUGAGGACUUAAACUCCAGUCUGAUGAUCCAAAAGCCAGGCAGUGAGGCUGCUGCUGUCACAGACAAGGCCAGAAGUGGGGGUGGCCUCAGUGGAUCCAGAGCCGCAGACGUGCAGGCCCAGCAGGGACCUGAAGGGAAGUGACAGGACUCAGCGAGCACUGCUGAGGCAGAGGGGCAGGACGCGCUGCAAGCUCCGCCCUGACCAGCUGGACGGACAGCAUCCGCUGGGUCAUUUACUGCAGUGGAGAAUGAGGGGAAGGAGAGAGGUUUAGAGGGGAAAAACAUCUAAACUUGAUGUACUCUACUUCAUAAAAUAAAACUGGGGUAAUCCCAUGCCUAGAAACUCCCUCUCUUCAAGCCUCAAUCCCAGUGUUCUCUCCACCCAUUCCUGCCCCUCCUCCCGGCGUCCUAAGGCCUCCAGUUCUCUUCUGACCCUCCAGCCUUCUACUACCUCACAUCGGAGUUGGGAG